AAACUCGAAUGAACGAACGGAGAGAUUCAUCGCCACUCCGCGGCGUACUAGCCCGCGCCUCGAUGGGCCGCGCGUCAGCGCUGCGCACGGGACGGGCGUGUCGACGUCCGCGGACGGCGUGCACUUCUCUCUCAGUAAACGAAUACGUCGCGACCCGUUCGACGACGGUCUAAGCGCGGCCAGCGGGAGCCGAGCGGGCGGCGCGUCAAAAACGCCGGCCGCUCGACCGCGACCCGCCGCCGACCGGCGUCGGACGGUAUCUCAAAUGCGAACCUCGAAUCGCGCACGCGCCUCGCGCGCGUCAGGCCCGACGCAAGCGUUACUCGCGUCGUCGCCCGCCUCCUGCCUGUGCGCGGUGACGGGCGGCGCGCCGCUGUCGUCGCAGCCGGUGCAGUCUCUGACCGUGCGCGUUUCGGUCGGCGACGUUUCAGUUUCGGGCACUCGCAGGAC
rnacentral:rRNA from 1 species